rnacentral:rRNA from 1 species
CAGUCGCCGCGGUAAUACAGAGGAUGCAAGCGUUAUCCGGAAUGAUUGGGCGUAAAGCGUCUGUAGGUGGCUUUUCAAGUCCGCCGUCAAAUCCCAGGGCUCAACCCUGGACAGGCGGUGGAAACUACCAAGCUGGAGUACGGUAGGGGCAGAGGGAAUUUCCGGUGUAGCGGUGAAAUGCGUAGAUAUCGGAAGGAACACCUGUGGCGAAAGCGGCUCACUGGACCAUUUCUGACGCUGAUGCACGAAAGCUAGGGGAGCAAACAGGAUUAGAUACCCGAGUAGUCCCUGUCUCUUAUAC